AUACGUAGGUCCCGAACGUUGCGCGAAAUUACUGGGCGUAAAGGGUCCGUAAGCGGUCUGGUAAGUGGAAGGUGAAAGCCUGGGGCUCAACUCCAGAAUUGCCUUCCAAACUGCCGGACUUGAGGCAGGGAGAGGUCGGCGGAAUUCCCGGUGUAGUGGUGAAAUGCGUAGGUAUCGGGAGGAACACCAGUGGCGAAGGCGGCCGACUGGAACUGUCCUGACGCUGAGGGACGAAAGCCAGGGGAGCGAACCGGAUUAGAAACCCUAGUAGUCC
rnacentral:rRNA from 1 species